GUCUUUUUGACAUUCCACAAUUAUUUUCUUUUGAAAAAAACGUUCAUCCCUAUAUCAAAAUCUUUAAACGCAGAUCUGAUGAAACUUGCUCCAUCAACACAGAUCGUUAAAGUUUUAUUUAUCUACUUUGCAUGUCGAAUCCGAUGAAUGAUCUGCUUCAUCCGAGGUUGACUCUGUCUGAAAAGUCAUAUCUCAAUACAAAACAAAGAUCUGGAGCUAAAGGGUCCGGAAACAUCAAUCUCUUCAGGUCAAUAGCCUUAUUAAUGUGCUAAGACGUUGAAACCUUGUGGAUCAAAGACCACGAGUAACAUGCUCACACAUCACCUGAAACUUCUUGUUGUAACGAUAAGUCUUCAAGUUUUCUCACAUCUUUUAAAGUUGUAUGCUUUAAUAUAUUUCCGUUCAUAUUUAUAUUUUGGUAUCUGAUCUCUUUUUGAUUUUACUGACAACGGUUUGAAAAUUUGUAUCUAUACAUACUUGAGGACACAAUGUUUCGUACCUUCUAUGAUCUAUUAUUUAAUCAGACAUGUCGAUUGAAUAUAUUAGUGUAUGUAUUCAAGUGUUUGAUUAUUGGAUGUUGGAAUCUUUACUAAAUUGCAAUAUAUUUAUGUUUAAGAUCAAUAACAAAUAGUUUUCAUUUGUUUUGGCUACAUGUGUGAUUAAAAAAUGAUAUGUGAACUUCAUGAUUGGUUUGUUGUGAUUGCUAACACUCAUUAAUUGUCUCUUUGUUUGUUUAUUUUAAUAUUCCUGUGAUUGUAUUGAAUAUUGAUAUCUACAUUUAAGACUUCUGUCAUGUACUGUUAUUGUUUAGUUUAUUAGAUUAAGAUAAUUAGAAACUAUAAAAGGAUCUUCAGUCUUAAAUCUUCUAAGUGAUAUAUUGUUUGUUAUUCAGUAUAUGGCUCUCACCUCUUUUCAAUAUAGUUUGAUUAUUGUUCGAUGAACUUUUCUUCCCUGAUUUGUUUCAGGAGUAUAUUUUAAUUCCUUGUUUCAAGUUUCAAAAUAAAAUGAUUAUUUUAUUAGAACACACAUCCAAUGGAAUGUUUUAAUAGACCAAACAUGAUUAACCAUCUAAAACAUUGUGUUGCGAGAACACUUAUUAGAAAAAGAUAAAAUGAUAAAAAAUCUCCAUAACAUAAUAACUCCAGACACUGAUUCUCCUGCUUUAGUAUUCUUUUUUAUGCUCAGCUCGUCAUUGAUCAUCUUCUCAACCUUGAUUCUUUUCACAGGGCGAACCUUCGAAGUUGAUGUGGUGUCCGGAUGGUCUACAAUGCCAUCACAUGAUCGCUUAGAAGGAGUUGUCAUCUAGAGCUUUCAUCACUUUGAGUUAAAAGAGACCCCUAGAUAAUAGAUAAAUACAGAAAAUAUUUUAAUCACAUAUUUGAAAAUCUUAAAAUA